CUACUACUCCCUCCGUCCGAAAAUACUUGUCGAAGAAAUGCAUAAAAAUGAAUGUAUCUAGAAUUAAAAUACGUCUAGAUACAUCUAUUUCUCCGACAAGUAUUUCCGGAUAGAGGGAGUACUAU
rnacentral:pre_miRNA from 1 species